GAGAUGAUAAUGACAGUAUCUGGUAAAGAAACCCCGGCUAACUCCGUGCCAGCAGCCGCGGUAAUACGGAGGGGGUUAGCGUUGUUCGGAAUUACUGGGCGUAAAGCGCACGUAGGCGGAUCAGAAAGUAUAGGGUGAAAUCCCAGGGCUCAACCCUGGAACUGCCUUGUAAACUCCUGGUCUUGAGUUCGAGAGAGGUGAGUGGAAUUCCGAGUGUAGAGGUGAAAUUCGUAGAUAUUCGGAGGAACACCAGUGGCGAAGGCGGCUCACUGGCUCGAUACUGACGCUGAGGUGCGAAAGUGUGGGGAGCAAACAGGAUUAGAUACCCUGGUAGUCCACACCGUAAACGAUGAAUGCCAGACGUCAGCAAGCAUGCUUGUUGGUGUCACACCUAACGGAUUAAGCAUUCCGCCUGGGGAGUACGGUCGCAAGAUUAAAACUCAAAGGAAUUGACGG
rnacentral:rRNA from 1 species